AGGGUUUGAUUAUGGCUCAGGACGAACGCUGGCGGCGUGCUUAACACAUGCAAGUCGAACGGAGUUUACAGACGGAAGCCUUCGGGUGGAAGGCUGUAAACUGAGUGGCGGACGGGUGAGUAACGCGUGAGCAAUUUGCCCUUUGGAGGGGAAUAACAGCCGGAAACGGUUGCUAAUACCGCAUAAGACACAACGGAGGCAUCUCUGAUGUGUGAAAGGAGAAAUCCGCCAAAGGAUGAGCUCGCGUCCCAUUAGGUAGUUGGUGAGGUAACGGCCCACCAAGCCGACGAUGGGUAGCCGGACUGAGAGGUUGGCCGGCCACACUGGAACUGAGACACGGUCCAG
rnacentral:rRNA from 1 species